AAUGCGGACCGGCGACGGCGAGNGACCCCAAAAAUAAAGCCCCAGUUCGGAUUGUAGUCUGCAACCCGACUACAUGAAGCUGGAAUCGCUAGUAAUCGCGGAUCAGAACGCCGCGGUGAAUACGUUCCCGGGUCUUGUACACACCGCCCGUCACACCAUGGAAGUCUGCAAUGCCCGAAGCCGGUGGCCUAACCACUUAUGUGGAAGGAGCCGUCUAAGGCAGGGCAGAUGACUGGGGUGAAGUCGUAACAAGGUACC
rnacentral:rRNA from 1 species